rnacentral:rRNA from 1 species
UAACGCGAAGGAACCUUACCAAAUCUUGACAUCCUUUGAAAACUCUAGAGAUAGAGCCUUCCCCUUCGGGGGACAAAGUGACAGGUGGUGCAUGGUUGUCGUCAGCUCGUGUCGUGAGAUGUUGGGUUAAGUCCCGCAACGAGCGCAACCCUUAAGCUUAGUUGCCAUCAUUAAGUUGGGCACUCUAGGUUGACUGCCGGUGACAAACCGGAGGAAGGUGGGGAUGACGUCAAAUCAUCAUGCCCCUUAUGAUUUGGGCUACACACGUGCUACAAUGGACAAUACAAAGGGCAGCUAAACCGCGAGGUCAUGCAAAUCCCAUAAAGUUGUUCUCAGUUCGGAUUGUAGUCUGCAACUCGACUACAUGAAGCUGGAAUCGCUAGUAAUCGUAGAUCAGCAUUCUAAAGGUUGCUU